rnacentral:tRNA from 1 species
UCCCUGGUGGUCCAGUGGCUAAGAUUCCACAUUCCCAAUGCAGGGGCCCUGGGUUCAAUUCCUGGUCAGGGAA